rnacentral:rRNA from 1 species
AACGAACGCUGGCGGCAUGCCUAACACAUGCAAGUCGAACGAGACCUUCGGGUCUAGUGGCGCACGGGUGCGUAACGCGUGGGAACCUGACCUUAGGUUCGGAAUAACUCCCCGAAAGGGGUGCUAAUACCGGAUAAUGUCUUCGGACCAAAGAUUUAUCGCCUUUGGAUGGGCCCGCGUUGGAUUAGCUAGUUGGUAGGGUAAAAGCCUACCAAGGCGACGAUUCAUAGCUGGUCUGAGAGGAUGAUCAGCCACACUGGGACUGAGACACGGCCCAGACUCCUACGGGAGGCAGCAGUGGGUAAUAUUGGACAAUGGGCUAAAGCCUGAUCCAGCAAUGCCGCGUGAGUGAUGAAGGCCUGAGGGUUGUAAAGCUCUUUUACCCGGGAUGAUAAUGACAGUACCGGGAGAAUAAGCUCCGGCUAACUCCGUG